rnacentral:rRNA from 1 species
CGGAGGGAUCAUUACUGAGUUACCGCUCUAUAACCCUUUGUGAACAUACCUAUAUGUUGCUUCGGCGGCCGGCCCCCCGGGGCGUCCGCCGGAGGAUAACCAAACUCUGAUUUAACGACGUUUCUUCUGAGUGGCACAAGCAAAUAAUCAAAACUUUUAACAACGGAUCUCUUGGUUCUGGCAUCGAUGAAGAACGCAGCGAAAUGCGAUAAGUAAUGUGAAUUGCAGAAUUCAGUGAAUCAUCGAAUCUUUGAACGCACAUUGCGCCCGCCAGCAUUCUGGCGGGCAUGCCUGUUCGAGCGUCAUUUCAACCCUCAAGCACUGCUUGGUGUUGGGGCUCUACGGUUGACGUAGGCCCCCAAAGCUAGUGGCGGACCCUCUCGGAGCCUCCUUUGCGUAGUAACUUUUGUCUCGCACUGGGAUUCGGAGGGACUCUAGCCGUUAAACCCCCCAAUUUUCCAAAGGUUGACCUCGGAUCAGGUAGGAAUACCCGCUGAACUUA